rnacentral:rRNA from 1 species
GCGUGCGCAGGCGGUUUUGUAAGACUGUCGUGAAAUCCCCGGGCUCAACCUGGGAAUGGCGAUGGUGACUGCAAGGCUAGAGUUUGGCAGAGGGGGGUAGAAUUCCACGUGUAGCAGUGAAAUGCGUAGAUAUGUGGAGGAACACCGAUGGCGAAGGCAGCCCCCUGGGUCAAAACUGACGCUCAUGCACGAAAGCGGUGGGGAGACAAACAGGAUUAGACUACCCCGGU